rnacentral:rRNA from 1 species
CCUACGGGUGGCAGCAGUGGGGGAUAUUGCACAAUGGGGGGAACCCUGAUGCAGCGACGCCGCGUGGGUGAAGGAGUAUUUCGGUAUGUAAAGCCCUAUCGGCAGGGAAGAAUUUAGACGGUACCUGACUACGAAGCCCCGGCUAACUACGUGCCAGCAGCCGCGGUAAUACGUAGGGGGCAAGCGUUAUCCGGAUUCACUGGGUGUAAAGGGAGCGUAGACGGCCAGGCAAGCCUGGAGUGAAAGCCCGGGGCCCAACCCCGGGACUGCUCUGGGAACUGUCCGGCUGGAGUGCGGGAGGGGCAGGCGGAAUUCCUGGUGUAGCGGUGAAAUGCGUAGAUAUCAGGAGGAACACCAGUGGCGAAGGCGGCUUACUGGACUGUAACUGACGUUGAGGCUCGAAAGCGUGGGGAGCAAACAGGAUUAGAUACCCGAGUAGUC